UACGUAGGGUGCAAGCGUUGUCCGGAAUUAUUGGGCGUAAAGAGCUCGUAGGCGGUUUGUCGCGUCUGCUGUGAAAACCCGAGGCUCAACCUCGAGCCUGCAGUGGGUACGGGCAGACUAGAGUGCGGUAGGGGAGAUUGGAAUUCCUGGUGUAGCGGUGGAAUGCGCAGAUAUCAGGAGGAACACCAAUGGCGAAGGCAGAUCUCUGGGCCGUAACUGACGCUGAGGAGCGAAAGCAUGGGGGAGCGAACAGG
rnacentral:rRNA from 1 species